AAGAUCCUCACCCUAGUUGCCUGGAAGUCAGUCUUCCACUAGCAGCCUUUGGAUGAAGAUGUAGAACUCUCAGCUCCUCCUGUGCCAUGCCUGCCGGGAUACUGCCAUGCUCUCAUCUUGAUGAUAAUGGACUGAACCUUUGAACCUGUCACCGUAUCAUCAGCCAACCUCUUAUAGGCCUCGAUUGUUGCUAUCUGGAGAACGAGGUUCAGGACAAACUUCGCACCUUGCUCCAGCACUUUUGCAUACACUAGAAAGAUUCUCUGUGCAUCGGCUCGAUCUCCCAGCACUUUACUCAGUCAGUGCCAAAACACCUGAAGAAUCAUGUGCACAGGUAGGUUUGUACAUUGCUUUUGUCUUGUUAUUAUGCACAUAGUAUGUAAGAUUUGAUUUUUCAGAGUAUGGUAAAUAUUAACUUUUCAUUAGGUAUUUAUCAAUAUUUUUAUGUUGGUAUGGUGUAUAAUACUUUAAAAAUGAGCUCAUUAUGUUUUUUUUCUAUGAUACAUCCUUAUUGAAAAUGUAAUGUCUUAUAAAGAAAAAGUAUUUUCCCUCUUUUGGACUCUCUUGUCAAAGUUGUAGUUUCAAAGAUGUUUUAGAUGUCUUUUAACUUAGAGCCUCACCAUAAGAUGGGGAGCAGUCUUUAGUUGCCAUGUCAGGAUUUAUGAUGGACUAGUGAUAUAUACACACAUACAUAUAUAUGAGGCGAUUUACAUUUUUUUCUUUUUUGGAUUUUUGAGUCAGAGUUGGCUAUUUACAUUUGUUGAGGAUUUUAUACAUAGACAAAAAUACAUUAUAAACAGUAUCCUUCUGGAACUUGGAAGGGAUGAGGGAAAUACAUUUUGAGCUAAGGGUGGCCAUGUGAUAACCAUUUCUGUAUCCCUACACAUAUGUACAGAGUGGGAGCUCAUUAGGUUUUUCCCCUUCUUUUUUUUUUUCUUUUUCUAUUUUCAUAUCUCUGUGUGUGCAUGCCUGUUUUCAUCAGUGUGGGUACAAUUGUGGGUACAAAUUCAUGUGGAGUCUUUAGGUUGAUGUUGGGAUGUAUUCUGGGUAGACCUUCCAUGUUAUUCAGUGAGGUAGGAUUCCACACCUGACCCAAAGCUUGCCAGUAUAGAUAAUCUUGCUCUCCACUUUCCUUGUCGCUGCCCUCUGAGGCUGUAACUAAAGACACCAUACCCACCUGUCUUAUCCAUGGGUUCUAGUGAUCUGACUUUCAGUUGGCUGAUUUGGCAAGGACUUGACUACAGAACCAUCUCUUCAGCCCACCCUUUGUUUUUAUGAGAACGUUAUGCUUAGUUGCUCUGACUGGCCUGGAAAUUGUAGUCUCAGGCUCCUUUGUAACUGGGAUUUCAGAUGUGUAAGAGUCUGGUCGUCAGGAAGUGCUUGUUUGCAGUAAAUAAGGAGAAUGUCAGUUUGUACUGGAAUGUUUUGUCCAUUUCUGCAUGGCUGUUAUAACUGGUGAGGUGCCAUUUAUAAGUCCUUGGUAACUGUGUUGUAGUUAUUUAACUGCAAGUUGUCCUCAGAUUGGACUUUUGCAGCAGGAAAUGCAUGUUUGUUAAAAAGUUAGAGUGCUUUCAGCUUAAUUAGUCUUUUAUUUACAGUUCUGGCAAUUAGCAGUAUUUCUUAUAGAGCUUUGUUUAAAGGUUUCUUUUUCAAUUCUUUAGUCCUAAUAUAAAACUGGAUACCAAUAUUCUGCUCUCAGUUUGACACAUCCUAGCUGUGAAUAUUUCCCAGUAACAUUUACUUUGAUGUUUGCUCAUAUUUUUCCUUCUGGAUAAGAAAAUUUUGCAGUUUUGUACAAGUAAGAGAAUUAUUCAGUGUCAUUUCAAGUAAAUCCAAAUGACGUACUAGGAAAGUAUAAAUUACCAAAAUUAACUCUAGAAAAGAGAGAAUCUAAACAGCACUGAUUGUAGAAGAAAUUGAAAAAGUGUUCUCAAAGUACUCAGCCUAGACAGGUUUAUAGGCGAGUCACGUUAAAGAACACUGUCAUUCUGAUGCUAAAGUGUUCCAAGCAUAGGACAGGAAGAAAGCUGAGACACUAGCAAAAUAGCAGCUACAGCCUUUCAAAGACUAUAUUAGAGAGUGCCAAAGACUGGCCUCCUUAGAUGGCAGCCACAGAGAAAACAUCACCAAAUGGAGCCUUUUAGUUAAAAAAGUGAUCAUUAUCGAAGCAUGCAAAUUGAUUGAAGGAAUUAAAUAUUGGAAAGGCUGCGUUAAGGUUACACAUAUUGAUUGUGACGUCCUUGUUUUUGGAAAACCUACAGUAUCAAAAUUGUAUAGGACAAUAAGAGGAUUUUAUAAAGUAGGCACUUGCAAACGUAAUGGUCUAAAACUGUUUUCUUAUAUGUUAAUCACAAUAAGUUAGAAAUACAAUGAAUAGAGAGGAUGAUUUAAAACGGCAACUAAGUUUACCUAGAAAUUAACUGAAAAAAUUAGUAUGCAAAACCCAAGAAGAAAAAUGAAAUUCUAUUGAAAGGGAUAGUUGAAUUAAAAAAAAACAUUGUUUUUUUAUACUUUAAUUAACAUAUAGACCCAAGUCAGAUUAAAUAGACCUUAGCUAAACAGCUUCAGUACUGUGACCUAGAUCAUGUUAACUCAGCUGAACCUUGACUCCAUUACAUAUGAAAUGAAGAUGCUACUUAGUAUGAGGUUGUAUUAAAAAAUAAAUACAUCAAGUAGGCUUGAUAUCAGUGCUUUCAGCAUGGUUUUCAUUUUCAUUGCUGCUAAGACCAAAAUGAGAAUGCAGUGAGUUCUUUUCUGAAUUAUUCAUAAAUUUUAAGUUAAUCCCAUUUAUAAUCCCACUAUAAUUUGAGAGAGCAACCUAUCAAGAUCUCUGUUUCUUCUAGAAAAUAAACAUGAGAAUCACAAGUGAAAUCUAGAGAAUGAAGUAUAAUAUAAACCUUUCUGAUUUUUUUUUUUAUGAGUAUGCUAGGAUGACAAUAAGGAAUGUGUACCUGCAAAGUUAAAUCAGGAUCAGAUUAACCACCUAAACAGUCCCAUGUCCCCUAAAGAAGCAGUCAUCAAUAGUCUCCCAACC
rnacentral:lncRNA from 1 species